GCCGGGACCUCUCCUGUGUUAGGCAAACGUGAUAACCACUGCACUACGGAAACCUCGUAUUAGCUUUUCUUCAAAAAACAGAAGGUGGAGCAAGGCUGAGUCCACACCCUGCAAGUCAGGAAGCAGCUGCAGCUGUGUGUGGGCUGCCGCCUUGCCCCAUGGGGCUCAUGCCUGCUGCGUCACGGCCCCCACUGCUCCCCACCGCAUUGCAGCUGGCGCUCCACCUGCUGCUCCCCAGACCAGGGCUGGCAGCCCCUUCCCAGACCUGCCUCUCUGUGAUCUCAUGUGGCCGUGACAGCUGCAGCUGUCUGUGGGCUGCACACCUGGGCAUGGUGGUGAGCUUCUGGGAUGGGGGAUGAUGAACAACCCUCAGAUGACCCCACAAUGUGCCAGGCAUCGCCCUUACACACCUGUAAGGGCAUCACCUCAUUUCAUUCUCAUGACAGCUCUCUGGGGGGGCUGUCGUCACUGUCACCUUACAGAUAAGGAAACUCAGGCACCAAGAGGGCGUCUGCGAGAACAGAGACGAGGGCUUGGAUCAGUUUCUGUCUGAGUCAGCGCCUUCCCAGGCUGGCUGGCUGCUCCCUUCUGGGACCUGUCGGGAUAAGCAGAUCAGGGAGUAUUUUGAGCCGAAAGGAAUUCAGCCUCUGAAUCCCUCCUGGGCCUGGGGCGUAGCAGGGUGAACACGUACGGAAGCGCAAACACAGCGGCAGACCUCAGCCUGCAGCUCAGCCCUGCAGUCUCCGGGGCAACGCACCGUGUGGGGACAUUGUCUCUCACUUGAAAAGCUGCUUACAGGCCCCCACCGCAUCCGUGUCGUGGGUUUAAAGCGGAUUAGUAGGAGGGCUGGUGGUUUGGGGGCUGGCAGGGCCUCCCAGCAGGGGCAGCCCCUUCACGUGGUGGUGAGCUUGGUAGUGACGACGGGCAGGCUGUUGUGUUCCAGGCAGGUGGCUGGAGCUGGGCGUGGGGUGUCUCUCCAUGAGGACUGUCUGCCCUGCCUGCUGCUCUCAAGGCCUCUGGGUUUCGCACCACACUCUCCUCACCUUCCCCUUCUAUUGGGAGGAAGGUCCCAGGGCAUGGGAGGGACCCUGUCUAGAGUGGAGCUAGGCUGCCCCAUUUCAGGUCACGGCUGCCCCAUCUCGGGUCACAGCUGCCCCAUCUCGGGUCACGGCUGCCCCAUCUCGGGUCACGGCAGCCCCAUCUCGGGUCACGGCUGCCCUAUCUCAGGUCAUGGGUCACGGCAGCCCCAUCUCGGGUCACGGCUGCCCUAUCUCAGGUCAUGGGUCACGGCAGCCCCAUCUCGGGUCACAGCUGCCCCAUCUCGGGUCACGGCAGCCCCAUCUCGGGUCACGGCAGCCCCAUCUCGGGUCACGGCUGCCCUAUCUCAGGUCAUGGGUCACGGCAGCCCCAUCUCAGGUCACAGCAGCCCCCUUCAGGUGAACAUGGCCAAGGUGCAGCCCUUCUCCCAGCCUGAGGCGGAGCCUGUCGUCAGCAAGUACCCAGCAUCCAAUUGCUUCUCAUGGCCUCCACCCCGGCCAUGCUGGUCCAAGCCACUGCUGUCUCAGGCCUGGACUGGUGCAGCUCCUGCUGUCGCCCUCUGUGGGGCAGCCUCACACGGCUCAUGGCACCCCUGCUGGUACUCAGUCCUCGUGCACUCCCUCCCUUGAGCAUGUGCAGGACCUGUGGCUCAUCUCGAAUGAAUAGAAAAUGGCAAAAGCAAUGGGAUGUCACUUCCAAAUCUGGUCACAGAAAGACCCUGUGUCUGUCUUGCUCAUUCCUCUCACCCUCUCCCACGGUCUGGUGAAGCCAGCAGCUGUGCUGAGAGCUGCCAUGGGGCAAGAGACUGAGGGUGGUCUCCAGCUAAACACCAGUGAGGAGCUGAGGCCCUAAAGAACUGAAUCCUACCCAGAACUACAUGCCUGAGCUUGGAGGCCGGUUCUUCCCCAGUGGAGCUGUCAGAUGAGACCUCUGCCCAGCUGAGCCCAGAUUGAGCCUGAGACCCUGAGCCUGGGGAUCCAGCCAAGCCACACCUGAUCCUUGAUCUAAGAAAAAUGGGAGCUGAUAAGUGUGGGACCCUUUGUGAUGCAGGAGUAAGUAGAUGCCACAGGCCCACCCUGCCUUCUCCUCCGAGCCAGCGUGAUUGUGUCAAGACCAGAUCAGCUCACAGCACUUCCCUGCUCAUGGCUCCUAGUGUCUCAAUAGCCCCAGGCCCUGCACCAUUCAUCACCUCCCAGCCACCCACCCCAGGCCCUGCACUGUUCAUCACCCGCUGGUCACCACCUGCUCCCCAGGCCUAUCCCAUUCAUCCCCCCACAGCCACCCGUCCCAGGCCCUGCACUGUUUGUCACCCCCUGGCCACUGCUUUGCUCCCCAGACCUGCCUGGUUCAUCACCCCCCAACAGGCCCUGAACUGUUCAUCACCCCCCCCAGCCACCCGCCCCAGGCCCUGCCUCGUUCAUCACCCUCCAGCCACCCGCCCUAGGCCCUGCCCUGUUUGUCACCCUCUGGCCACCACCUACUCUUUCCUUGCUUCCUGGCUGGCCUCCAGCCACAUGGGGCAGUUUCCUGAACAUUCCCACUGUGUUUGCACAGGCUGUUCUCUCUGCUUGAGAUGCUGUUCCCUGAGAUGUGUGAACAGCUUGCUCCCUCACUCCUUCCAACAUCAGCUUCUCAGUGAGCCCCUCCCUGACCUCCCUGCUUAGCCUCAGAUUUCUCCCAUGUCCCUGCCACCCCUGCAUAUUUGUCUCUGCAGGAUUCAUCAGCAUCAGGUCCUCCCAGCUGCUGACCUCCCCCCGCUGCCACUGGGAUGCACACUCCACAAGGGCAGGGUUCUCCUGCCUCUUCUUUCUCCCCUGCAGAUCCCCUAGGGCGUGGAGCAGUGUCUGACCCAUGGCGGAGUCUCAGCAAACAUUUGUUCAAGGAAUAAACUGAGGGAGUGGAGGGCAAAUCUGGGUGUGAGCCCGUGCCUGCAUUGCCGUGAGAAUGUGAGCAGGUGCCCCGAUCUGCCCCGGCAGAGGCCUCCCCCACCCAGCAUGUUUCGCCAUAUCUCCUCCUCUGGCCGAGUCCUUACGGAAAGGUGUAUCAAAGGGGUCAUCCCUCUGCCUGUGUCCCUGAGUGAGGACAAACAGCAGGUCCCCUGAGGACGUGUGAGAGCAGUUGCUUGAGUGAGAGAUAUGCCUUCACUAUUGAAGGCACUGAGUCUGGGGACUGUUUGUUAGAGCAGCAGAACUGAGCAGUCCUGACAGCACAGAAAGCGGCUCCGAGAAAUGAGGUGCUGCCACAGCCACAGGGCACCUGGAGCAUGUGUCCUGCUCACGUGGAGGACAGAGGGGAGGUGGGCAGAGGCCGGAGCGCACUCCAUGUGGAACACUCGGUCAGACUGGACCGGCAACUUGGAAGUUGGACCAUGAACCUGAUGAAACCGCAGCUCUAGGGAAAGGCUGGAAAAUCGCACGUCGGCAGACACGGCAGUGAAAUGUUUUGAGGAGUCAGACCCAGAUAGUAAUUGUCCAUCCUGCCAGCAAGCGUGAAAGCGAACAAGGAGAUUUCAAAAUAUUAUACUCCCAGAAAGCUGGAAGAGCUGGCUGCCUGUAGACCGUGAUCAUGAAAAUGCAGCUUCUGAGAAAAGUUUCAUGCAGGACACGGUGUCACAGCCCUGGUUCCUCUCCCGUGCGUCAUGGCAUCUCACGGUGAAGGUGAAGUGGGGGUGCUUUUCACUUGGACAAAACAGCGCAGGGAAAGCAACUAGCUACAGAGAAGGGGAUGACGUCCCUGAAACUCAGCCCAGCCAUUGGUGUGGGCAGAAGGCUCUGCCGCCCUGGGAGGGUUGACGGCAGAGGAGCUGCAAGGGUGGCUGCUGCAUGUGGAGCUGGCUGAAGUCAGAGACAAGAAAGCUCCUGGGGUCUUGAGAGUCACGAUGACAGGACGGCACCCAUUCAGUCUACAAGAGAAACGUGUGCAUUAAUGGAAACCACCACUAACCCCUGCGACCAGGAGGUGGGCGGCGAACACUGACCCGCCCUGAGGAAGGCGUGUCCCGGGUACCCACCUCAUACUGGCCGAGAAGGGUCAUGGAGGAAUCAGAAACCUCUUGGAGGGCAGAGCCAGGGACCUCGGAGGACGGCGGAAAAGGAGGUGACCUUCAGGAGGAACUGAAUCUGGACUGAGUGAAGGAGCGUGGACCAGCACCAGGGUGGGCGCUCAGCGGCCUUCCCAGGGGUUUCAGGUCCUCCGUGCACCAGCGACUGCUGCCAUCUCCCUUCUCUCUCUCCCUGCUGCUGGGGCUCGUCAUGUCCAUUCCCUGCCGUCCGCUGUGUGCCGAGCGUGAGGGAGGCAGUGACCAACCUCUUCAGUCCGUGAGUCUCCAGUGAAGAGAUGUCUGGGGUCACCCAGACCCGUUAUGCCCGUGAUUUGGGGUCGUCUCACCUGGGGAGCCAUGAUGGGGAGUGAACACAGUUGAUUAGUCCAGAGGCAGACGUGGAAGUCAGUGGCGCCGCCCACGAAUAUUUUGGUCUCCUUUUCCAGAUACAUUUAGGAUUAUGCUUUCUCUCUCUCUCCAAGUUAGGCUUGGCCAUGUGACCUGCUUUGGCCAAUGAAAUUUUAGCCUUUAAACAUGAGUUCAUGAAGCUUCCUGCUUUGGGGAUUGUGGAUGUGUGUUGACACCUCGGUCCCUGUCCCCCAGUGAUGACAAAUGGCAAAGGCCCCUGCUGGCCCACACUGAACACCUGUGUGAGAAAGAAGUGCAUCUGUGAAGUGCUCAGCUGCUGUGGUGUGGGGCUGUUUGUUACACAGCCCAGCCAAGACCAGCCUGACUGAUAUACUCCCUCAAGCAUGAAUAGGGCUCUGCUUCUCCAAUGAGGGGAGUAGGACCCAGGGCUGUUUCUCAGCAAUGUCCAGAACACCUUACUCCUACGUCCCCCAGAAACAAUGACAAGAAACACCAUGGGAGGCGUCUGUCGAGGAGCUGGUCGCGGCAGGGUGGGCACAGCUCUGCCCUGCUGAGGAAGGGCUUGAUGAUCCCCCAGGGCCCUGUCCCCGAGGGAGGGGCUGGUAUCCUGAGCAGUGUCCUGGAUCGGGGCUGGCGCAUGAGUAGAAGUGGGCCCAGCCCUCCCCACCCCAAGCUGGGAGAGGUGAGACCCCCCCCCACCACAGCCCACUAGGUGCCAGUGACUGACGGGCCCACCACUGUCUUCACAGCCCCCAGAGUUCUCUGGUAACCAUAGGCGUGGAAAAUGUGCCAGGAACCUUUGGUUUGCAUGUACCUUUAGAUGCUUGGAUUAAAUUACACCCAUAAUACAUUA